GGAAGAAUCUGAUCCUCAGUGGGUUGCUUCCGAGUUUGUGGAUCCUUCGGGUUUUGCUGAGUUGCCGAACUUCCCUUCCGGUCAAGGCAAGCCCCGGACAUUAAACCCUAUCCUUGUAUUUUCAUAAAGUUAUUUAUAUCACUUGAGUUAAUAUGAUGCAUUAGGUGAAUAGGAGUUGAGUGAAUCCUAUUUGCUGCAUUAUCUACCUUGAUGAUUUCAAUAUUAACCUUGAUACUUGUUUUAUGAAAAUACUUAGUAUGCUUAGCCCUGCUUAUUAGAUAAGUUUUCAAAUGAGAAAGUUUGAAGGGUUGUUGUGGAAUACUUUUAAGGUCAAUACUGUUCAACUUGAGACCGGUCGGUGGACUUGCUUUAAGAAUGGAGUCUUAAAGUAGUGUCUCCAACUGUGUCGAUUAAGGACCGUUCUGUUGUUGGCCUGUUGUGAUUGAGACCUUUGAGUACAGCCCACAUGCGCUGGUAAGCCUUACCUAUAGCUAUUCCGAUACUUGAGAACGGCUAACCGCGUACUGGGAGUGGAGAGAUGGCGAGAGUAGCGUGUACCCACCUUACGGAUCUGAGAUGACCGGGAAACAUCUAGAUUGGCUGUAGGAUGGUGGUGUACUGUACUCUCGGGUGACGCUGGACCCGUUCUUGUAUGGGAGUAUCUAUAGAAAAGGUUGACAUAUGCAAGAUUAAGUUCUACAUAUGUCGUGUGGUACUGAAUCCCCAGCUGGGUUUAAUCGAUUCGAAUCGCCGUGUUUCCUCGGAUAUGGAGCCUCAAUCCUCACCCCAUCAUCGUAGUAAUAAAUGAUCUUUGGUAAGAGAAAGAGGUGGUAUGCUUAUGCAAGUUUGAUAACAAUUUUGGUUAGUCAUAAAUAAUGAUCUUGAGUUAAAACUUGAAAGUAGGUUUUACUCUUAGUAAGCUUUUAUGCAAAAGAAAUGCUUUGAUCCUGUUAAGGUUUUACCUUGAAUCCCUAUAGCCUGCAUACCUGAGUCUUCACCUCUUUUCUAGUCGGUUAAGUCUUGUUGAGUACUUUUGUACUCAAGGUUUUAUAACCCCUGUUGCAGGUGCUGACUUAGUCUGCUAAUGGAGGUCAUGUCGGUGGGCGCGACAUGAUUUAUCCACCUCUUCUACCUUAGAAGCUUCACCUAAGAUGCUUCCGCUACUCUAUACACCUUUUGGAAAUUUAGUUAAGUUUAUACUUCAUCAUAUGUUGUAAAUUAAGUUAUAAAUCUUCCGCACUCUGAUCUAAGUUAUUUUUGUAACAAAUGUUGUAAUGUUGUGGUAACUCCAUGUUGAUCCUGUAUGAGUUAAAACGUGGAUGAUUCGGGUUUCCCGAGGACACCCGACAGACUUCUUGAGUCAUUUGGAACUCGUGCAC
rnacentral:lncRNA from 1 species